rnacentral:rRNA from 1 species
ACCUAAUAGAUACCCUGGUAGUCCACGCCCUAAACGAUGCGAACUGGAUGUUGGGUACAUUACGGUACUCAGUGUCGAAAGCUAAACGCGUUAAGUUCGCCGCCUGGGGAGUACGGUCGCAAGACUGAAACUCAAAGGAAUUGACAGGGGCCCGCACAAGCGGUGGAGUAUGUGGUUUAAAUUCGAUGCAACGCGAAGAACCUUACCUGGCCUUGACAUCUGUCGAAUCCUGCAGAGAUGCGGGAGUGCCGCAAGGAACGACAAGACAGGUGCUGCAUGGCUGUCGUCAGCUCGUGUCGUGAGGUGUUGGGUUAAGUCCCGCAACGAGCGCAACCCUUGUCCCUAGUUGCCAGCACAUCAUGGUGGGAACUCUAGGGAGACUGCCGGUGACAAACCGGAGGAAGGUGGGGAUGACGUCAAGUCCUCAU